AAAGUGAAUAGUAACUCGAUUUUCCGGAGAAGCCGCGGUGAGAAGUUGGCUUCUGGCUCGUAUCGGACUCUGUUCAUAGUAGUCCAAUAGCUCGUUUCGACUGGUUCAGCUAUUCUGGAACUAAUGGCGCUGACGGAUUUUGAGUUUGACGCACGGAUUUCGAGAAAAUCCAAAAAUACAAAUUCUAUAUGUAUUUAGGUGUGUUUUCUUCUGUUGAUAGGAAGGUUGGAUUUUGUCGUGAAUCCGUGGUCGAUCGUGAUGAAACAAAAUCGCAGCUUUGUUGUCUCCGUCGUGCUGAUCGUACUGGUACAAUCCGUUCGCAAAUCUGACGGACGGAUCUGCGGAGAUCGCGCGUUGAUCGAGGAGAGGUCGGUAGUGGCAAAAUGGUAUUUUCGCGAAAGUCGCGACAUUUUAUGUACCGUUUUACGUGAGAUCGCACGUGGAGGGCUAUUCGUGUGUUUUACACGCACUGUGGACGACUUAGUUUAAAAUAUUGAGUUUUCGUGGGUCUUUCCGCAUUUUGAGUUUUAUAUAUAUAGUUGUCUCUUAGGGUUUGCUACUAGAAACCCUAACCCUAGCCCCCCAGCCACCUUCAUCCCUCUCCCCUGCCCCUGCCGCACACCCCUGGCCGCCACCGACUGAGCCCCAGCCGGCCAACCGCCGCCGCAGCCACCAUUUCUCUUUCUCUCCCUCUCUUUCUCUCUCCCUCUCUCCUCUCGGGUUGUGAGGAGACCCGAGACUGCCGCCACCUUCGGACCCUCCCUCGGUGUCGCCCCGUGCUCCGGCGAUCAUCCCCGCCGACCGCCGCCGUCGCCUGCGCCGCCGCUGCCACCCCGGGCCACAUCUGCCAGCC
rnacentral:lncRNA from 1 species